UCCGAUCCAGGUUCAUGUGCUCGCGCUGCCCUUUGUAACGUAAUACCGCUCGGAAUCAGGCUGCAGAGGAGUGACUUCUUGGGACGUGUAAAGCGGUAAAGGCUAUCUCGUGGGUGGCUGUGUGCGAUUCCGCGCGUCGAAAGGACGGUGGCCUGUCCUUCCACGUUUUUCCUCACGAGACGAAGACCACUGGGAAGCCGGCGACUUUGACAAAUCGUCGGAAGAGAUGGAUUGAGCGACUAAAGAUCGGGAAGCCCGUAACUUCAACGAUGUUGGUGUGCUCUCAGCACUUUAAGGCUGACGACUACUUUUUCCCAGGUGUGAAAUGCAAACGUCGUCGCUUGAAAUCAACAGCGAUUCCUUCACAAAAGCUGCCCGUAUCUAGUGUGCACAAUGCUGAGAAGGCAGCAAAGCUUGAAGCACUGCGUAUCAUGCGGCAAGAGAGAAGCAACAGAAGAAGUGCUGCACA